UUGUGUGGCGGCAGGCUACACAUGCAGUCGAACGGUAACAUUUCUAGCUUGCUAGAAGAUGACGAGUGGCGGACGGGUGAGUAAUGCUUGGGAACUUGCCUUUGCGAGGGGGAUAACAGUUGGAAACGACUGCUAAUACCGCAUAAUGUCUUCGGACCAAACGGGGCUUCGGCUCCGGCGCAAAGAGAGGCCCAAGUGAGAUUAGCUAGUUGGUAAGGUAACGGCUUACCAAGGCGACGAUCUCUAGCUGUUCUGAGAGGAAGAUCAGCCACACUGGGACUGAGACACGGCCCAGACUCCUACGGGAGGCAGCAGUGGGGAAUAUUGCACAAUGGGGGGAACCCUGAUGCAGCCAUGCCGCGUGUGUGAAGAAGGCCUUCGGGUUGUAAAGCACUUUCAGUUGUGAGGAAAAGUUAGUAGUUAAUACCUGCUAGCCGUGACGUUAACAACAGAAGAAGCACCGGCUAACUCCGUGCCAGCAGCCGCGGUAAUACGGAGGGUGCGAGCGUUAAUCGGAAUUACUGGGCGUAAAGCGCACGCAGGCGGUUUGUUAAGCUAGAUGUGAAAGCCCCGGGCUCAACCUGGGAUGGUCAUUUAGAACUGGCAGACUAGAGUCUUGGAGAGGGGAGUGGAAUUCCAGGUGUAGCGGUGAAAUGCGUAGAUAUCUGGAGGAACAUCAGUGGCGAAGGCGACUCCCUGGCCAAAGACUGACGCUCAUGUGCGAAAGUGUGGGUAGCGAACAGGAUUAGAUACCCCGGUAGUCCCC
rnacentral:rRNA from 1 species